GCGGCGCUCUACUUAUGGACUUUUCAGGGUGUGAACGGCACCCCUGAACGGAUCACGUCCAUAAGUAGAGGUACCACUGUACUAAGUUGAGAUUUUACUAAAUUGUAAGGAAAAGGAAACAUAAUUUUGUGUAAUCUGCCCUCCCCGCUGGUGACACAAAAUUCCAUAUCUUCUUACAACUCUUCCUGUGGUCUCAUGUUGACUGCAUGGCAGACAAGAUGGAAUGUUGCAGGAUACGUCCCAUGCAGGGUAGCAGCAAUCCCCAGCACACUUGCUAGAACCUGCCUGGUGGAUAGGAGUGGAAUCACUAUAACAGUGUCUCCAGUCCCAACAGACAGGCUACAAUCAAUGGUACCAAAUACUGCUGGGAUGUUCAAGAGUCUUCAAAAGCAGGUCUUCACAACAUUUACAGGAGGUGGUAAAUGGGCAACUUCUGAGGGAUAACUCUAGCUCUUUAGCAGACGGCAAAGGCAAAGCGCUGCCCUGGAAUAAUGGGUGAGAUGCUGUAGAGAAAUACUCUUUCCACCGCCAGAGAGGCAUCCUUCAUUCAAUUAGAAUUGUCAGCUGUCUUAAUUUUGCCACGGCACUCAUGAAUAAAGAAACAUUGCUUUCAGGACAA